rnacentral:rRNA from 1 species
AUUGAACGCUGGCGGCAGGCCUAACACAUGCAAGUCGAGCGGAUGAAGGGAGCUUGCUCCUGGAUUCAGCGGCGGACGGGUGAGUAAUGCCUAGGAAUCUGCCUGGUAGUGGGGGAUAACGUCCGGAAACGGGCGCUAAUACCGCAUACGUCCUGAGGGAGAAAGUGGGGGAUCUUCGGACCUCACGCUAUCAGAUGAGCCUAGGUCGGAUUAGCUAGUUGGUGGGGUAAAGGCCUACCAAGGCGACGAUCCGUAACUGGUCUGAGAGGAUGAUCAGUCACACUGGAACUGGGACACGGUCCAGACUCCUACGGGAGGCAGCAGUAGGGAAUAUUGGACAAUGGGCGAAAGCCUGAUCCAGCCAUGCCGCGUGUGUGAAGAAGGUCUUCGGAUUGUAAAGCACUUUAAGUUGGGAGGAAGGGCAGUAAGUUAAUACCUUGCUGUUUUGACGUUACCAACAGAAUAAGCACCGGCUAACUUCGU